rnacentral:piRNA from 1 species
UCAAAUACCGAGUUCCUUGUGUGGGCAU